GCUUAUUUAAAUAUGUCAAAGUUUUAAUAAUUGACGAAAUCAGUAUGAUUGGUGCCGAGCUUUUGAACCAAAUAGAAAUAUUAAUUUUGGUGUUCUAGAAAUUAUUUUUAUUGGAGAUUUGCGACAAUUACCUCCAGUCCGUGUAACUCCAACAACGGAUGAUUGGACCCUUACAAAUGUUUGCUUCUAUUUUUACAAAAAUUGGCAGUGGUGUUAUUUUAAAUGAUGAUGAAUUUGCCGUUAUCGAGUCUAGAUUUUUUACGAAGGAAGAAGCCCUGCGCCUGUGUCCAAGUGGUGUACGAUUAUUUCAUGAUAAUGCAUCAGUUAACGCAUAUAACGUACUAGCUUUACAAACUGAAAGUACAAUAGAUUCAAUUUCAAUGGACAUUAUUUCUGGUUGUACUAAUCGUGAGCAAGAAACAAACAUGAGACAAAAAUUACACAAGUUGUCAGUGAUUGAUACUGGAGACGUGAUUAACGGUUUAGCUAACGACGCCGUUGGAAAGCUAGUUCAAAAUGAUGAAAAUCAAGUAACUCGCAUAUGGCUUGUUUUUCUAGAUAAAACACUGGUAAAGUGACUAGAAGAAAAGCCGCUGCCUUUUUUGCCGAACAUAAUAUCGAUAGACGUGCAGUACCUAUCGUACGUCGAACUUCAAGUAUACCACCAUUAAUAAUAAAACCAUUGUGGGAAAAAGAAAUAAUAUUCCAUUGAUAUCAAUGUGUGUUAUGACUAUUCAUAAGUCUCAAGGAGGUCUACAUAACAAGGUGGUCUAUGAGUAUAGUAAAAGUCAUUCUAUUCCCUUACUUUACGUAGCUUUAACACGAGUAACAAGUCUUGAAGGGUUGUUUAUAUGUAACAGGGUUGUUUAUAUAAUAUGAACAAAGAUUUUAUCAUGGAAGAAGAGUACAUCCAUCAGUUUCAAGUUUACAGCAAGAAUUCAAAAGAUUAUCUCUAAACAAGCUUACUACAUCGCAAGGACUUAUCAUUGAAUUUAUAAACUCCAGAAAUAGAUUAGCCAUUUAUUCUUUAAACUGCCAAAUUCUCAGAAAACAUACUACUGAUUUACAAGGUUCUAUAUGUCAAAGGCGUAACUUUUUAUUACUAACUGAAACAUGGCUUCCUGCAGAUGUCAGUUGACUUACCUAAUUUUCACUGUAUAGCUAAAUUUAAGAGACAAAGCCGGUGGAGUUGCCAUUUAUAAAAACAACAAAAAUUCACAUAUUACUGCAUUCAACAUGGAUUUAGUAAUUCAAAAUGCUACAGAAGUUAUUGUCUCCCAAACAUCUAUUGGAGAUAUGUGUGAUUCACAUGUUAAACUAGAAGGUGGAAGUCAAUUGAUGAUGAUUGUUGCGUACAUUUCUCCUAAUAAAAAGUAAAUGAUAUCAUUUCAUUUUUACACGAGAGAUUAUUUCCGUAUAGUCACAGAGGUUCAAUAAUUUUCAAAACCAAUAAAGACAAACUACCAUUGAGUUUUCAAUGUAAAUUUUGCAAAAGAUGAAUCAACGCCAUUAAUUUCGUUUCUCCAAGAAGAAUUUCAAUUGCAAAUUAAUAACAAUCCAAGAGAACCUACCACUAGAUACGAAACAACAAUAGAUGCUGUAUUUAUUAGAUAUCUUGAUAAUGUUAUGUCCAAUAAUUGUCUAACAUACUUCAGUUACCAUCGACCAAUUGUCACAGUAAUACUGUUCUCAGAGGCAACCGAAUUAAGUAGUCACGAUUUGAAAUAAAUUCGUAAAUUUUUGUAUUUAAUGAAAAUAAAUGUUUAUUCAAUAAAUAGUCAACGUUAUCUGGAAAAAAUCUUAA